rnacentral:snRNA from 1 species
GUGAUUGCUUGAGUAGUACAUACACUAAAAUUAGAACAACAGAGAGGCAAUUAGGAUAGCACCUGAGCAAGAAUGAUGUGCAAAUUCAUGAAGUAUUCUGUAUUUUU